UGCAAGUCGAACGGCAGCGGGGGAUAGCUUGCUAUCCUGCCGGCGAGUGGCGGACGGGUGAGUAAUGCAUGGGGAGCUGCCCAAUCGAGGGGGAUAACAACUGGAAACGGUUGCUAAUACCGCAUACGCCCUGCGGGGGAAAGGUGGGGACCUUCGGGCCUACCGCGAUUGGAUGCACCCAUGUGGGAUUAGCUGGUUGGUGAGGUAACGGCUCACCAAGGCGACGAUCUCUAGCUGGUCUGAGAGGAUGACCAGCCACACUGGAACUGAGACACGGUCCAGACUCCUACGGGAGGCAGCAGUGGGGAAUAUUGCACAAUGGGGGAAACCCUGAUGCAGCCAUGCCGCGUGUGUGAAGAAGGCCUUCGGGUUGUAAAGCACUUUCAGUGGGGAGGAAGGGCUGAUGACUAAUAUUCAUCAGCAUUGACGUUACCCACAGAAGAAGCACCGGCUAACUCCGUGCCAGC
rnacentral:rRNA from 1 species